GCCAGGUGGGGUGGUGCACACCUGUAAUCCCAGCAGCUUGGGAGGCUGAGGCAGGAGGAUGGCAAGUUCAAAGUCAGCCUCAGCAAGUAAAUGAGGCUCUAAGCAACUCAGCCAGACCCUGUCUCUA
rnacentral:sRNA from 1 species